ACUCGAGUGGCGAACGGGUGAGUAACACGUGGGUGAUCUGCCCUGCACUUCGGGAUAAGCCUGGGAAACUGGGUCUAAUACCGGAUAGGAGCCACUUUUAGUGUGAUGGUUGGAAAGUUUUUCGGUGUAGGAUGAGCUCGCGGCCUAUCAGCUUGUUGGUGGGGUAAUGGCCUACCAAGGCGGCGACGGGUAGCCGGCCUGAGAGGGUGGACGGCCACAUUGGGACUGAGAUACGGCCCAG
rnacentral:rRNA from 1 species